rnacentral:rRNA from 1 species
AACGAACGCUGGCGGCAUGCCUAACACAUGCAAGUCGAACGAGACCUUCGGGUCUAGGGGCGCACGGGUGCGUAACGCGUGGGAACCUGCCCUUAUGUUCGGAAUAACUCCCCGAAAGGGGUGCUAAUACCGGAUAAUGUCUUCGGACCAAAGAUUUAUCGCCUUUGGAUGGGCCCGCGUUGGAUUAGCUAGUUGGUAGGGUAAAAGCCUACCAAGGCGACGAUCCAUAGCUGGUCUGAGAGGAUGAUCAGCCACACUGGGACUGAGACACGGCCCAGACUCCUACGAGAGGCAGCAGAGGGGGAUAUAGGACAGUGGGCGAAAGGCUGAUCCAGCAAUGCCGCGUGAGUGAUGAAGGCCUUAGGGUUGUAAAGCUCUUUUAACCGGGAUGAUAAUGACAGUACCGGGAGAAUAAGCUCCGGCUAACUACGUG